ACUGCUGCAGUAACAGGAUGCAUAAAUGCUACUUCAGACAGGAUGCGAAACCGAUGAUUCUCCUAUAAAUGUGACAGAAGCUGUUUGUUCGGAGAAGGUGUGUUGUUCUGAUGACAGGAAGUGGUGCGGGACAUCCUUCUGUCAGUCACUGAUCUUUCAGUCUCCAUCCAGACAUCAUGAAGCUUCCAUCAGCGUGUCUGCUGCUCGGAGUCUCCGCUGUUCUGCUGGCAGGAGGAACUGUCUCUGAAGUGUCUCUGAUCGUCAGACCAGACCUUCAGCAGUUCUUCAGUGGACAGUCAGUGUCUCUGAGUUGUGAGGAUGGACAGACAGCUGAUGGGUGGACAGUUAAAAGGACCAAAGGAACACUCACUGAAACCUGUGGAGCACCUGGAUCAGACUUUGGAGUGUUUAAGGACUCCUCCUGUGUCCUUGACCUUUUGUCUUCUUACACUGGAGUUUACUGGUGUGAAACCAGUGCAGGACAGAGGAGUGACCACAUCAAUAUCACUGUUAACCAGAAAGAAGACAGGGCUUUUAUUCUGGAGGUCCCUGCUCUUCCUGUGGCGAAAGGACGUAACGUCACUCUGCAUUGCCGUCACAAAGAUGGUUCCACCCGUGCAGCGUAUUUCUACAGGAACAGUCAUAUUAUUGGAGAUGGAGUCAAAUCUCAGAAGGCCAUUAUCCACAGAGUCCAACAGUCCGAUGAAGGUUCCUACUGGUGUUCUACUGACACUUCUGGAUCAUCACCUCAUAGCUAUCUGAGAGUCAGAGAUCCUCCUCUCCCUCAACCAUCUUCCCACCCCAUGACAGCUUCCACUUCUUCAGCUGAUGGUGCUAAUCAUACAGCAAGUUCUCCUUCUCCUUCUGUGUCAUUGGUGCACCUCCUGUGCCACCUGCUGGUCCUCUGCCCGUACUGCGUGUGCAGCGUCCUGCUGGCUUCAAUCUGCUGCAGCAGGGGCUCGGGUAAAUAUCUUUACCUUGUGACAACAUCUCUAGUAUAACUUCGCAUAAAUGAUGUUUUUCAUGAUAUUCACACUAUUUGAGAUGCACCUGUAAGCGACGUGCACAACGCAGCCACUUUGACACUAAAAGGAAACCAGGCUGUGGUCUCCAUAGAAACCACCCAGCUUGGUGAACUGGGUGAUGUUGCUGCUGAUGUCACUACAGAGCAUGAGUUCUGAUGGAGCGUGAGCUGCAGGCUUGGGGCUCAUGUCCGGCUGCUUCGCCACAAACAGGAAACCUGGACCCGGAACCCAACCAAUCAGAGCAGCUUUUGAAAGGAAGUCUCACUUCCUGCUCAGCUUCUUCUGAGUGAAAUAAGAUCUACUGACACUUGGACCACCAGCAGCACCAAGCUGCUCAGUGUGCUCACAGCACUGAAAAUACUGAUCCAGCUUUAACCCGAGCUGGAUCAGGUCAGAACACAGAGCAAGUACAGACGUUUUUCAACACUGUGAGGAAACAAAUAAUAAAAGAAGACAUUUCUAUUCACCUGAAAAUAUAUUUACUAAUUAUACAAAGAUUAAUUUGAUCAAACUGAUCUUUAAUUUGUAUUUUUUAUUUCAAUGUUUGAAUUUUUGAGCGUGUCCUGUGAGAUUUAAUUACCUUACUGUUAUGGAUCUCUAUGUUUGUUAUUAUUACUUCCCGCAAUAAUAAAAAAUGAUGGUAACUAGCAGAUAAUUAAAUGGAAUCACUUAACCUGCAUCAAGGACACAAGAGGUAAACAUAAAUAAGAGAUU